rnacentral:rRNA from 1 species
GACGAACGCUGGCGGCGUGCUUAACACAUGCAAGUCGAACGGAAAGGCCCUGCUUUUGUGGGGUGCUCGAGUGGCGAACGGGUGAGUAACACGUGAGUAACCUGCCCUUGACUUUGGGAUAACUUCAGGAAACUGGGGCUAAUACCGGAUAGGAGCUCCUGCUGCAUGGUGGGGGUUGGAAAGUUUCGGCGGUUGGGGAUGGACUCGCGGCUUAUCAGCUUGCUGGUGGGGUAGUGGCUUACCAAGGCUUUGACGGGUAGCCGGCCUGAGAGGGUGACCGGCCACAUUGGGACUGAGAUACGGCCCAGACUCCUACGGGAGGCAGCAGUGGGGAAUAUUGCACAAUGGGCGGAAGCCUGAUGCAGCAACGCCGCGUGCGGGAUGACGGCCUUCGGGUUGUAAACCGCUUUCGCCUGUGACGAAGCGUGAGUGACGGUAAUGGGUAAAGAAGCACCGGCUAACUACGUGCCAGCAGCCGCGGUGAUACGUAGGGUGCGAGCGUUGUCCGGAUUUAUUGGGCGUAAAGGGCUCGUAGGUGGUUGAUCGCGUCGGAAGUGUAAUCUUGGGGCUUAACCCUGAGCGUGCUUUCGAUACGGGUUGACUUGAGGAAGGUAGGGGAGAAUGGAAUUCCUGGUGGAGCGGUGGAAUGCGCAGAUAUCAGGAGGAACACCAGUGGCGAAGGCGGUUCUCUGGGCCUUUCCUGACGCUGAGGAGCGAAAGCGUGGGGAGCGAACAGGCUUAGAUACCCUGGUAGUCCACGCUGUAAACGGUGGGUACUAGGUGUGGGGUCCAUUCCACGGGUUCCGUGCCGUAGCUAACGCUUUAAGUACCCCGCCUGGGGAGUACGGCCGCAAGGCUAAAACUCAAAGGAAUUGACGGGGCCCCGCACAAGCGGCGGAGCAUGCGGAUUAAUUCGAUGCAACGCGUAGAACCUUACCUGGGUUUGACAUGGAUCGGGAGUGCUCAGAGAUGGGUGUGCCUCUUUUGGGGUCGGUUCACAGGUGGUGCAUGGCUGUCGUCAGCUCGUGUCGUGAGAUGUUGGGUUAAGUCCCGCAACGAGCGCAACCCUUGUUCACUGUUGCCAGCACGUUAUGGUGGGGACUCAGUGGAGACCGCCGGGGUCAACUCGGAGGAAGGUGGGGAUGACGUCAAGUCAUCAUGCCCCUUAUGUCCAGGGCUUCACGCAUGCUACAAUGGCUGGUACAGAGAGUGGCGAGCCUGUGAGGGUGAGCGAAUCUCGGAAAGCCGGCCUCAGUUCGGAUUGGGGGUCCUGCAACUCGACCUCAUGAAGUCGGAGUCGCUAGUAAUCGCAGAUCAGCAACGCUGCGGUGAAUACGUUCCCGGG